ensembl:lncRNA
GUGUUGCAGUAGUCUUGUAUGAGGGGUUAUGGCAGGGGAAACAGUGUUGCAGUAGUCUAGUGUGAGGGAUUAUGGCAGGGGAAACGGUGUUGCAGUGGUCUAGUGAGAGGAGUUAUGGCAGGGAAAACGGUGUUGCAGUGGUCUAGUGAGAGGAGUUAUGGCAGGGGAAACGGUGUUGCAGUAGUCUAGUGUGAGGGAUUAUGGCAGGGGAAACAGUGUUGCAGUAGUCUAGUGUGAGGGGUUAUGGCAGGGGAAACGGUGUUGCAGUAGUCUAGUAUGAGGGGUUAUGGCAGGGGAAACAAUGUUGCUGUAGUCUAGUGUGAGGGGUUAUGGCAGGGGAAACGGUGUUGCAGUAGUCUAGUAUGAGGGGUUAAGGCAGGGGAAACGGUGUUGCAGUAGUCUAGUGUGAGGGGUUAUGGCAGGGGAAACAGUGUUGCAGUAGUCUAGUAUGAGGGAUUAUGGCAGGGGAAACGGUGUUGCAGUAGUCUAGUGUAAGGGGUUAUGGCAGGGGAAACGGUUUUGCAGUAGUCUAGUGUGAGGGAUUAUGGCAGGGGAAACGGUGUUGCAGUAGUCUAGUGUGAGGGAUUAUGGCAGGGGAAACGGUGUUGCAGUGGUCUAGUGUGAGGGAUUAUGGCAGGGGGAAAGGUUUUGCAGUAGUCUUGUAUGAGGGGUUAUGGCAGGGGAAACAGUGUUGCAGUAGUCUAGUGUGAGGGGUUAUGGCAGGGGAAACGGUGUUGCAGUAGUCUAGUGUGAGGGAUUAUGGCAGGGGAAACGGUUUUGCAGUAGUCUAGUAUGAGGGGUUAUGGCAGGGGAAACGGUGUUGCAGUAGUCUAGUAUGAGGGGAUAUGGCAAAAGAAACGGUGUUGCAGUAGUCUAGUGUGAGGGGUUAUGGCAGGGGAAACGGUGUUGCAGUAGUCUAGUGUGAGGG